AAAAGAAAGUUAGCUUCAAUAGUCUUUCACUUAAAAGACGCCAAGGGCACUUUUCGCACGUAGCAUCUCGAUUGCUGUUGCAACGGCAGUAAAACUAGCUACACGACUGCGUUUCCUUCAUCCUACCGAGGCACAAGCUUCAGGUUCGUCGGUGUUGGCGUUGGACUGCUACUGCAGGAUCUACUCAAUGCCCGAUGAGGUUCGACGCUUAGGAAACUCUUGUCGCUGGUUGGUGGAGCAGAGACGACUUCCGGUUCGGCCGGACUGGGACACCGUCUUUGCGAACAAUUCGACAGAGUGCUUCUGGACAAUGUUUGCAGCGGUAUUUGAUAGAUUCUUAUUGGUUUCCAUUCACCAUGAUUGUCUGUGAAAGUAAAGGGCAGCACUGUUAUUAGUUCGGGACGAUGACGAAGAUUGUGUGAAAGGAGAUGGACUGGAAACCGGUUCUUCUUUGUCCGCAGGCUUUGUGUCCAGCCGGAUUCUUUCGCAUUUGCCUGGUAGAAAUUCCGGGGCUGUCGUCGAGAAGAAGAUAUCUUGUUUGGAUGUGAACAGAUUCAAAUUGGGCAUUGCGAUCGUAUGCACCAGGUUUCCAUUGAUGAUUAACCGUAUCUCCAUGGUAUCGUUAGUGAAGGCAAUUAUAUAAGGAAAGGCACAAGCUGAAAAUUGACCACCACUAAGACAUACCGUGCCGUCCACGGGAGAACCUUUGUGCCCUCCAAGCUGAUGCUUCUCAACUCGUAUUUGGUCCUGUGCCGAAGCGGUGAACCAGGUACGGCGGUGGUCGUGUGGAGAACGUUCCUCAUGCUCUUCGAACUGGUUCCAGUAAGCGCGUGUCUCCUACCGGAUGCACCAUCUCUCGUCGACUGAUUCGUAGAUCUUCUCAGGGAACUCAUCUCCGAUAUCAAGAUUUCUCACCAGGUGUACUUCUGAACUAUUAAGGCUACUAGAAAGCAUCGCAAGAACCGUCGAAGUUUCAUGUCGAAUUUUUACCUCGAAGCCACCAGUCCGAACGUGACAACUACGGAUUCGAAUUGCGACUUCAUCGUACGUUCGGUUGCCAAGGUUUUUGCCGUUGGGCCGACGGACAACUGAACCGUUGGAUGAACCGGCAACCAUAAAUGACUGCGCCACCUUUCAACCCCACCAUCCAGCAGGUCGCCACCAUAACUGGUCGCAAGCAUCGUAUUUUGCUAACCCCUCCCCAUCGCCACUCUCAUCGAUGCUUUCCUCUGAUCGUUGGACUUUUUUUUCCCGGCCGAUACCCUCUUUACAACUAACGUGCUUCGCUGAUUCGGGAUCGAUCUGCGACAGAUCCGCGCGGCAUCGGUUACCACCUAUGUACCUGCCUCGCGCGAUCAAGCGAAAACAAGGAUACUUUCGCGCGUUCUUGCGUUACUUAAACUCUGCUCGAGGCUCGCUUUUAUUAUUACAAGACGAACCUUAGGAAUUGAACUUUUUUUUAGUAAUUAGCCAGUAAUUAAUUAAUUAUAACGAUUUUAUUGUCUGAAACUCGGUCGGCGGGUAUUACAUGUCGGGAUUUCCGACAGUUUUCUCGGUCCUGAUGAUCAAUUUCUGUAGUUUAACGAUUACAGAAUAAAGAAUAGCAUCUUACUUUC